CUAAGCCAGUGGUGAACUCCACAUACGCAUCCUUUGCUGAGGAUACGGUUAACGGAGCGAAAGCGACGUUCAACCGCAAAAGAAGCAGAGGGGGCUUAGUGGUGGGGUGACUGCGUACCUUUUGUAUAAUGGGUCAGCGACUUAUAUUCUGUAGCAAGGUUAACCGAAUAGGGGAGCCGGAGGGAAACCGAGUCUUAACCGGGCGUUAAGUUGCAGGGUAUAGACCCGAAACCCGGUGAUCUAGCCAUGGGCAGGUUGAAGGUUGGGUAACACUAACUGGAGGACCGAACCGACUAAUGUUGAAAAAUUAGCGGAUGACCUGUGGCUGGGGGUGAAAGGCCAAUCAAACCGGGAGAUAGCUGGUUCUCCCCGAAAGCUAUUUAGGUAGCGCCUCGUGAAUUCAUCUCCGGGGGUAGAGCACUGUUUCGGCUAGGGGGCCAUCCCGGCUUACCAACCCGAUGCAAACUGCGAAUACCGGAGAAUGUUAUCACGGGAGACACACGGCGGGUGCUAACGUCCGUCGUGAAGAGGGAAACAACCCAGACCGCCAGCUAAGGUCCCAAAGUCAUGGUUAAGUGGGAAACGAUGUGGGAAGGCCCAGACAGCCAGGAUGUUGGCUUAGAAGCAGCCAUCAUUUAAAGAAAGCGUAAUAGCUCACUGGUCGAGUCGGCCUGCGCGGAAGAUGUAACGGGGCUAAACCAU
rnacentral:rRNA from 1 species